GCCUCACCAACGAGGCCUUGCCAUUCUUUUUUUAUUUUCUAGGUUUGCUUUUUUUAAUUUAAAUUUUAGUUUUUAAGUUUUUAAUCUAAUUUACAUAAGACUUGGAGAAGAAAAUAAUAGAAAUGCCAUGUAGUAAAGAGGAAUUAAUUAAAAAAUUUCAGGUCAGCAUUUUCUGCUAGUGGCGAUGCGGGAUGAACCGGAAGUCGAGUUACGGUGCCCGACUGCGCGCUAACCUAGAACCCACAAAGGAUGUUGGUCGAUUAAGACAGCCGAACGGUGGUCAUGGAAGUCGAAAUCCGCUAAGGAGUGUGUAACAACUCACCUGCCGAAUCAACUAGCCUCGAAAAUGGAUGGCGUUGAAGUUAGUGAUAUUAACAUAAAGGACUUGGUUAUAUCAACUUGUCAAUUUUAGAA
rnacentral:ncRNA from 1 species